GUGAGGAAUUUUGCGCAAUGGGGGCAACCCUGACGCAGCGACGCCGCGUGGAGGACGAAGUCUUUCGGGAUGUAAACUCCUGUCAGUGGGGACGAUAAUGACGGUACCCACAGAGGAAGCACCGGCUAACUCCGUGCCAGCAGCCGCGGUAAGACGGAGGGUGCAAGCGUUGUUCGGAAUUACUGGGCGUAAAGCGUAUGUAGGCGGCAAGUUAAGUUCAAUGUUAAAGCCCACGGCUCAACCGAGGAGAUGCAUUGAAUACUGGCUAGCUAGAGGGUGUUAGAGGAAGACGGAAUUCCCAGUGUAGCGGUGAAAUGCGUAGAUAUUGGGAGGAACAUCGGUAGCGAAAGCGGUCUUCUGGGACAUACCUGACGCUGAGGUACGAAAGCGUGGGGAGCAAACAGGAUUAGAUACCCGUGUAGUCC
rnacentral:rRNA from 1 species